UUGGCCUACGGGAGGCAGCAGUGAGGAAUAUUGGUCAAUGGCCGAGAGGCUGAACCAGCCAAGUCGCGUGAGGGAAGACGGCCCUACGGGUUGUAAACCUCUUUUGUCGGGGAGCAAAGCGAGUCACGUGUGACUCAUUGAGAGUACCCGAAGAAGAAGCACCGGCUAACUACGUGCCAGCAGCCGCGGUAAUACGUAGGGUGCAAGCGUUAUCCGGAUUUACUGGGUGUAAAGGGCGAGUAGACGGCGUUGCAAGUCAGAUGUGAAAGGCUAGGGCUCAACCUUAGGAGAGCAUCUG
rnacentral:rRNA from 1 species